AGAGUUUGAUCCUGGCUCAGGAUAAACGCUGGCGGCGUGCCUAAUACAUGCAAGUCGAGCGAACGGACGAGAAGCUUGCUUCUCUGAUGUUAGCGGCGGACGGGUGAGUAACACGUGGAUAACCUACCUAUAAGACUGGGAUAACUUCGGGAAACCGGAGCUAAUACCGGAUAAUAUUUUGAACCGCAUGGUUCAAAAGUGAAAGACGGUCUUGCUGUCACUUAUAGAUGGAUCCGCGCUGCAUUAGCUAGUUGGUAAGGUAACGGCUUACCAAGGCAACGAUGCAUAGCCGACCUGAGAGGGUGAUCGGCCACACUGGAACUGAGACACGGUCCAGACUCCUACGGGAGGCAGCAGUAGGGAAUCUUCCGCAAUGGGCGAAAGCCUGACGGAGCAACGCCGCGUGAGUGAUGAAGGUCUUCGGAUCGUAAAACUCUGUUAUUAGGGAAGAACAUAUGUGUAAGUAACUGUGCACAUCUUGACGGUACCUAAUCAGAAAGCCACGGCUAACUACGUGCCAGCAGCCGCGGUAAUACGUAGGUGGCAAGCGUUAUCCGGAAUUAUUGGGCGUAAAGCGCGCGUAGGCGGUUUUUUAAGUCUGAUGUGAAAGCCCACGGCUCAACCGUGGAGGGUCAUUGGAAACUGGAAAACUUGAGUGCAGAAGAGGAAAGUGGAAUUCCAUGUGUAGCGGUGAAAUGCGCAGAGAUAUGGAGGAACACCAGUGGCGAAGGCGACUUUCUGGUCUGUAACUGACGCUGAUGUGCGAAAGCGUGGGGAUCAAACAGGAUUAGAUACCCUGGUAGUCCACGCCGUAAACGAUGAGUGCUAAGUGUUAGGGGGUUUCCGCCCCUUAGUGCUGCAGCUAACGCAUUAAGCACUCCGCCUGGGGAGUACGACCGCAAGGUUGAAACUCAAAGGAAUUGACGGGGACCCGCACAAGCGGUGGAGCAUGUGGUUUAAUUCGAAGCAACGCGAAGAACCUUACCAAAUCUUGACAUCCUUUGACAACUCUAGAGAUAGAGCCUUCCCCUUCGGGGGACAAAGUGACAGGUGGUGCAUGGUUGUCGUCAGCUCGUGUCGUGAGAUGUUGGGUUAAGUCCCGCAACGAGCGCAACCCUUAAGCUUAGUUGCCAUCAUUAAGUUGGGCACUCUAAGUUGACUGCCGGUGACAAACCGGAGGAAGGUGGGGAUGACGUCAAAUCAUCAUGCCCCUUAUGAUUUGGGCUACACACGUGCUACAAUGGACAAUACAAAGGGCAGCGAAACCGCGAGGUCAAGCAAAUCCCAUAAAGUUGUUCUCAGUUCGGAUUGUAGUCUGCAACUCGACUACAUGAAGCUGGAAUCGCUAGUAAUCGUAGAUCAGCAUGCUACGGUGAAUACGUUCCCGGGUCUUGUACACACCGCCCGUCACACCACGAGAGUUUGUAACACCCGAAGCCGGUGGAGUAACCUUUUAGGAGCUAGCCGUCGAAGGUGGGACAAAUGAUUGGGGUGAAGUCGUAACAAGGUAGCCGUAUCGGAAGGUGCGGCUGGAUCACCU
rnacentral:rRNA from 3 species